AUGUUUAAGCAAUGUUGUACUGGGAGUUGGAAGCUGGUUCUUAGGUUCAUAAUGGCAGGUGAAGCAUGCCAUCGUCGAGAAAAGUCUCAGGCAAUUGCUAGACCAGGUCACAACAUCGUUGUGACAACAAGUGGUGCUGCGUACACUUUUGGGUCCAACAACUCUAUCAACUUGGCCAUGCCAGUAGUAGCAGGAGCAGGCCAUAUAAUGCUUGUCAGUGAUGCUGGUAGAGUGUAUGCAUUUGCGAAGGAUUCUUUUGGAGAGGUAGAAUUUGGGAAUCAAGUUUCAAGGGUUGUGACUACAUCACAAAUGACAGAAUCAUUGAAGGACAUGUACAUUGUACAAGCAAAAAUUGAGAACUUCUUUACUGUCGUUUUAUCUCGGGAGGGAUGUGUGUAUACGUUUUCUUGGGGCAGUGACAUGAAGCUUGGUCAUUUGACAGAGCCAAACGAUGUGCAGCCUCAUCUUCUCGCAGGCCCUCUUGAGAACAUUCCAGUUGUGCAGAUAGAUGUAUGCUAUUAUUGUCUCCUUGCUCUCGCAUGCCAACCAAGUGGCGGGUACCGGGUACGUAUCGGGUCACCGGAAAGGGUUCCGGGCACCCACCCCGGCAAAGAUAUGGGCCUUAUUGGGCCAAGGGCAGGACAGACCAGCCGCUAG
rnacentral:rRNA from 1 species